rnacentral:rRNA from 1 species
AUUGAACGCUGGCGGAAUGCUUUACACAUGCAAGUCGAACGGUAGAGGGGGCAACCCCUUGAGAGUGGCGAACGGGUGAGUAAUAUAUCGGAACGUGCCCAGUCGUGGGGAUAACGUAGCGAAAGUUACGCUAAUACCGCAUACGAUCUAAGGAUGAAAGCGGGGGACUCGCAAGAGCCUCGCGCGAUUGGAGCGGCCGAUAUCAGAUUAGGUAGUUGGUGGGGUAAAGGCUCACCAAGCCAACGAUCUGUAGCUGGUCUGAGAGGACGACCAGCCACACUGGAACUGAGACACGGUCCAGACUCCUACGGGAGGCAGCAGUGGGGAAUUUUGGACAAUGGACGCAAGUCUGAUCCAGCCAUUCCGCGUGCAGGAUGAAGGCCCUCGGGUUGUAAACUGCUUUGUACGGAACGAAAAGGUUUCUAUUAAUACUAGGAGCUCAUGACGGUACCGUAAGAAUAAGCACCGGCUAACUACGUGCCAGCAGCCGCGGU